rnacentral:rRNA from 1 species
UACGUAGGGUGCAAGCGUUGUCCGGAAUUAUUGGGCGUAAAGAGCUCGUAGGCGGUCUGUCGCGUCUGCUGUGAAAACCUAGGGCUUAACCCUGGGCCUGCAGUGGGUACGGGCAGACUAGAGUGCGGUAGGGGAGACUGGAAUUCCUGGUGUAGCGGUGAAAUGCGCAGAUAUCAGGAGGAACAGCCGGUGGCGAAGGCGGGUCUCUGGGCAUUACCUGACGCUGAGGAGCGAAAGUGUGGGGAGCGAACAGG